rnacentral:tRNA from 1 species
UCCCUAGUGGCCUAGACGGUAAAGCAUCUGCCUGUAACGCGGGAGACCUGGGUUCGAUUCCUGGGUCGGGAA